rnacentral:rRNA from 1 species
GUUGUAGGACUCAAGAAUGGACGAUUGUUGUUAGUUGAACACGUUGGAGAGCGUGGCCAAAGAAGGUGACAGCCCUGUAGGCGAAAACAACAUGAACCAAUGAGGAUCCUGAGUACGGCGGAACACGAGAAAUUCCGUUGGAAUCAGCCGGGACCAUCCGGCAAGCCUAAAUACUACCUAGUGACCGAUAGUGAACCAGUACCGUGAGGGAAAGGUGAAAAGAACCCCGGAAGGGGAGUGAAAAGCACUUGAAACCGUAUGCUUACAAGUAGUCAGA